UACGUAGGGUGCGAGCGUUAAUCGGAAUUACUGGGCGUAAAGCGUGCGCAGGCGGUUAUUUAAGUCAGGUGUGAAAGCCCUGGGCUUAACCUAGGAAUUGCGCUUGAGACUGGAUAGCUUGGAGUGCGGCAGAGGGAGGUGGAAUUCCACGUGUAACAGUGAAAUGCGUAGAGAUGUGGAGGAACACCGAUGGCGAAGGCAGCCUCCUGGGCCAGCACUGACGCUCAUGCACGAAAGCGUGGGGAGCAAACAGG
rnacentral:rRNA from 1 species